GCACCGGCUGAUCCAGGCCAACGGCACAGUGGUCCUGCGCUCAGUGAAAGCAGAGGAUUCUGGGUAUUACGCCUGCACCACCACCAACACCUGGGGCUUUGAUACCAUCAUCAACCUGCUGGUGCAAGAGGGAGAAUUUCCCUAUCUUGGGAGCAGCUGAUCUUCCAGGACAGGGAGGAGCAUGUUCACCUGAGCAGAGGCCUGGAACCAGAAAGGGAUCAUCCAGGAGCCCCAGCCAGAGGAGAA